GCUUCAAUAGCACAUACUAAAAUUGGAACUAUACAGAGAAGAUUAGCAUGACCCCUGUGCAAGGAUGACACACAAAUUUGUAAAGCAUUCUAUAUUUUU
ensembl:snRNA U6 U6 spliceosomal RNA